rnacentral:lncRNA from 1 species
GUGCCUGUGUGGGUGUUUUAUGUAUGGGUGUAGUCUACAGCCUGGGAAGCUAAACCUGUUGGUGAAGGGAUUUUCAUUUACUUAAGAGAAAGAUCUUAACACUUAAGAGAGAUCAGAUUAAUUUCAAUGAGUUAUUUAUGUGUAAAGUAAGGUUUGUUAGCAAAAGAAAGUCUAACUGGGUGGUAGCUGCCUUUCUCCUUCUCAGGGGUUAGGAGUGGGGAAAAUCAAAGAACUUAGCUUCUGGCUGGGGAAUCUGUGUCAGCUCUCCCAAAGACUGGGUAAGUCAAAUGGGGUCCCCUGACUCUGGGGGACCGAUGUUUUUGAGCAAAGGAGAGCUAGGCAGUGUAAUACAUUAGAGAAUAGACCUGGAGCAAGAGUUGUGGGCUCUUGGGCAAGUCUUCUUAUCUGUAAAUGGGAAGAUAAUUGUACCUAUCUAAUAGGAUUAAGUGAUUUAAUACAUGAAAGAACUCAGAGACUUACACAUCGUGGUGCUCACAAAGCUAAGGGCUCACCAAGGGUCCAAGUACUGGAGCUGACUCACUCCCUUGCAACACAAAGGCAUGGGAAGAAACCUCUUGUGGAUCUUCCCUUGCUCUCCAUCUUCUCCAAAGCCUCCUCCUGAGGGCAGGCCUGUUCUGAAAGCCCCGAUCUCCUGGCUGGCUCUGCCUGGUCCUUCGGAUGCUGAUCCCUACAGCCCUGGGGCAACAAUGCCUGGAGACUCUUGUCUGCCUUUAAUUAUGGCAAUUCCAGCUGCCCAGGAGUGUCAAAGUUCACGCAACAACACAACCUAACCAGCUGAAACCACACCCCCAUCACCUUGCUUUGGGACCUGUGAGCCAGCCUCCCAGCUGGUCUCUAGGGCUCCUGGGCCAGCCCAUGCUGCUGUAUCCUGGAUAUUGCUGCCAAGAGCUUGUUUGCCUGGGCUCUAGCUGGCUUGAUCACGUGCCUUCAAGAUAAGGAGAACAGGAGGACUGAAAUGCCACCACAAGCCAGUGAAGCCAGUAUGUGGUCAGUGUGAGUGGUGUAACAUUAUGAAGAGUAAGAGAAUGGGAAAUACCCAGAAAACCAACCAAGAGGAAAUGUGGAUUUUGCAUGGUGACAAGGCACUGAGGGGCAGAGUGAGGUAACUGGAUUAGCGUCCUCGGCUGUUGCCACAAAUUACCACAAACCUGCAAGCUUAAAGCCCAGCAAUUUAUUCUCUCCCAGUUCUGGGAGUUGGAAAUUCAAAAUCAUUAUCGCUGGGCCAAAAUGCAGGUGCUGACUGGGCCACACUCAUCCUCUCUGGGGGCUUUGGGGGAAGAAUCCACUGCUCACCACUUCCAGCAUCUGCUGGUUGGUAGUAUCCUUGACUGUGGCCAUGUUGAGCUGACCUCUGCCUCAGUGGCCACACUGCCUUCUCCCUCUCUGCCUGCCUCUUAUAUGGAUGCAAAUAAUUGCAUCCAGGAUCCACCAAGAUAAUCCAGUAUAAUCUCCCCUCACAAGAAACUUAAUUUAGUCACAUAUACAAAGCCAUUUUUUUUUUUUUUUGCUAUAUAAAGUCACUUUUAUAAAUUCCAGAGAUGAGGAUGUAGAAAUCUUUUUUUUUUUUGGGGGGGGGGCACCAUUACUUAGUCUACCACAUAAUAAAGUAAAUUGUAAGUAAUGGCCCA